AAACGAUUCGGGCUGUCUAUUUUUUUUUAAAUAACGCAGUAAUUUUGAAUUAGUAUGUUGAUAAGAAUAACUAGAUCAUUUAUGCAAAUCACCAAAAUGCUUAGCAACGCGGUUGCUGCAGUGAAAGUGUUUUCCUAACCUUUUGCCGUUCUAAAUUUUGUCAUCAUUUUCCCAUGCUGACAUGCUGUUGAGAGGCUAUUAGCAGGUGGAUGAACAGCAUGUGCACCACUUAUGCUUUAAAAGACUCAAGGGACACAUAGAUGUGUAAUGUCGCCUCUAUUCUUUGAAAAGAGCAGUUGAUUUGGCACAGUAAAUAAGGUGGAAACUUGGGAAGUUGUUUAACACAAGAGUUUAUUACUUGUAGUUACAGUGCAGACAGUUAGGUAAUUAUUUUUGGGCCAAUUAAUAAUAAAGCAGUUGACGCUGAGUGUUAAUAGAGCACAGCGACUGUCCAAGUAAAAAAAAACGAAAUGUAAAAGGAAAUCUGACAUGGUGUUUAUGGUCCAGUUUUGUGGUUACAUUGGUUUUGCAGUCCUUUUCCAGUUGAGAGAUGUGCUGAAAUGGAGCUUGUGUAGACUUACAGUUCAACAUCAUACAGCAUAUAUGCAGUGUUGAACAGUUGGGUAACAUAGUCAAUGUUGCCUGAUUGCUGUCGGGCUUAUUUUAUCGGCUGCGUUUGGUCGAUAUGUCGUCUCUUGCUACCUGUAACCGCGUUGAGUUCAAUCAUCAGCCGCCGUUCCAUAGACUUGAUCCAUUGGUGGAACUGAGGAGAGGUUGCUGAAAUUCAAGACUCGUCAAGAAAU